rnacentral:rRNA from 1 species
AUGUUUGAGAAGAUCACGGAGCGUGCUGAGGAGAUGAAAGUACACUUAUUCGAUUCCAUGUUUGAUCCAGUGUUGGUCAAGUUGAUGACAGAGGUGCAGAGCUCCCUACAGCUGGCGGAGAAGGAGCAUAGGAAGAUGUUCGAGAAGAUCGCCGAGCAUGCUGAGGAGAUGAAGAAGUUGAUGACAGAGGUGCAGUUGUCUUCAUCUCGAGUUUGCAAGGUGACCUUACCUGAGAUGGCAAAGUCCGUAGCCAGAGUUAUUGAUGGCUUGCGCGAUACCAAAGUGUUGUGGUUCAUUGGGUCCAUCUCCUCCUUCGCCAUCUACUACGGCACCUGCGUGCUCUCUGAGUCAAUGCUCUCCGCCCAUUCGUGCCAUCUUCGUCGGUUGCUCCUGUCCUGCACAAGGUCAUGCACAACAUGUGCCUUGCCGGAUGCCUUCGAUGCCCCACUCUUGAUCAGAAGGUCAUUACAAAGGAAUUCUAGGGGAAUCGUACCAAGGAUCCUGCACAAUGCGAGCCUUGCUAUUGUAUGCCUUCGAGACAUCGAGGCUACAGUGAAGAUGGAGUUAUUUCUUUCAGGAAGGAAGGAUACAUACAACGAUUUUGCUGAGGCAAUGGAUCUGGAAGAGAUGGGGGUACUUGUUCAUGUGUCAUGCUCGUUCAAGAGCCUCAUUGCUCAUUCCACAAAGAGGCAAAUGAGAAUCAUGUCUAUACGAAUGGAGAAGAUGUAG